rnacentral:rRNA from 1 species
AGUGAACGCUGGCGGUAGGCCUAACACAUGCAAGUCGAACGGCAGCACAGUAAGAGCUUGCUCUUACGGGUGGCGAGUGGCGGACGGGUGAGGAAUACAUCGGAAUCUACUUUUUCGUGGGGGAUAACGUAGGGAAACUUACGCUAAUACCGCAUACGACCUACGGGUGAAAGCAGGGGAUCUUCGCACCUUGCGCGAUUGUAUGAGCCGAUGUCGGAUUAGCUAGUUGGCGGGGUAAAGGCCCACCAAGGCGACGAUCCGUAGCUGGUCUGAGAGGAUGAUCGGCCACACUGGAACUGAGACACGGUCCAGACUCCUACGGGAGGCAGCAGUGGGGAAUAUUGGACAAUGGGCGCAAGCCUGAUCCAGCCAUACCGCGUGAGUGAAGAAGGCCUUCGGGUUGUAAAGCCCUUUUGUUAGGAAAGAAAAGCAGCAGGUUAAUACCCCGCUGUUCUGACGGUACCCAAAGAAUAAGCACCGGCUAACUUCGUG